GACGAACGCUGGCGGCGUGCUUAACACAUGCAAGUCGAACGGAAAGGCCCUGCUUUUGUGGGGUGCUCGAGUGGCGAACGGGUGAGUAACACGUGAGUAACCUGCCCUUGACUUUGGGAUAACUUCAGGAAACUGGGGCUAAUACCGGAUAGGAGCUCCUGCUGCAUGGUGGGGGUUGGAAAGUUUCGGCGGUUGGGGAUGGACUCGCGGCUUAUCAGCUUGUUGGUGGGGUAGUGGCUUACCAAGGCUUUGACGGGUAGCCGGCCUGAGAGGGUGACCGGCCACAUUGGGACUGAGAUACGGCCCAGACUCCUACGGGAGGCAGCAGUGGGGAAUAUUGCACAAUGGGCGGAAGCCUGAUGCAGCAACGCCGCGUGCAGGAUGACGGCCUUCGGGUUGUAAACCGCUUUCGCCUGUGACGAAGCGUGAGUGACGGUAAUGGGUAAAGAAGCUCCGGCUAACUACGUG
rnacentral:rRNA from 1 species